rnacentral:rRNA from 1 species
UAAGCAUAUCAAUAAGCGGAGGAAAAGAAACCAACAGGGAUUGCUCUAGUAACGGCGAGUGAAGCAGCAAUAGCUCAAAUUUGAAAUCUGGCGUCUUCGACGUCCGAGUUGUAAUUUGUAGAGGAUGCUUCUGAGUAACCACCGACCUAAGUUCCUUGGAACAGGACGUCAUAGAGGGUGAGAAUCCCGUAUGCGGUCGGAAAGGUGCUCUAUACGUAGCUCCUUCGACGAGUCGAGUUGUUUGGGAAUGCAGCUCUAAAUGGGAGGUAAAUUUCUUCUAAAGCUAAAUAUUGGCCAGAGACCGAUAGCGCACAAGUAGAGUGAUCGAAAGAUGAAAAGCACUUUGGAAAGAGAGUUAAAAAGCACGUGAAAUUGUUAAAAGGGAAGGGAUUGCAACCAGACUUGCUCGCGGUGUUCCGCCGGUCUUCUGACCGGUCUACUCGCCGCGUUGCAGGCCAGCAUCGUCUGGUGCCGCUGGAUAAGACUUGAGGAAUGUAGCUCCCUCGGGAGUGUUAUAGCCUCUUGUGAUGCAGCGAGCGCCGGGCGAGGUCCGCGCUUCGGCUAGGAUGCUGGCGUAAUGGUCGUAAUCCGCCCGUCUUGAAACACGGACCAAGGAGUCUAACAUCUAUGCGAGUGUUCGGGUGUCAAACCCCUACGCGUAAUGAAAGUGAACGGAGGUGAGAACCGCAAGGUGCAUCAUCGACCGAUCCUGAUGUCUUCGGAUGGAUUUGAGUAAGAGCAUAGCUGUUGGGACCCGAAAGAUGGUGAACUAUGCCUGAAUAGGGUGAAGCCAGAGGAAACUCUGGUGGAGGCUCGCAGCGGUUCCCACGUGCAAACCCAUCGUCAAA